UACACAUUGAUUUUUUGAGUAAAACUUGAACGUAUCUUAGAACAGAAGAUAAUUAAUUUCUCAAAUUAUGUUUAAUAAAGCACAUUAGUCUGUUCAAACUUGAUUUUUAAUCCGCUACGCGUUUUCAACCUGUCCGAUACAGAAGGGCAAUGCAGGAUGGAUCGUAAAUAUAAAAACUACUAUAAGAAUAUGAUUGAAUACGAUUGAAAAGGGGUAAUAAACAAACGCUUUAAAUAUAAAAAGCUUCUUCA